UGCAAGUCGAACGAAGCUCUGCGUUACAAGACUUCGGUCAAGUUGAACGGAUGAUUUAGUGGCGGACGGGUGAGUAACGCGUGAGGAACCUGCCUUUCAGUGGGGGACAACAGUUGGAAACGACUGCUAAUACCGCAUAAUGUAUUCUGACCGCAUGAUCGGAAUACCAAAGAUUUAUUGCUGAAAGAUGGCCUCGCGUCUGAUUAGAUAGUUGGUGAGGUAACGGCUCACCAAGUCGACGAUCAGUAGCCGGACUGAGAGGUUGAACGGCCACAUUGGGACUGAGAUACGGCCCAGACUCCUACGGGAGGCAGCAGUGGGGAAUAUUGGGCAAUGGGGGAAACCCUGACCCAGCAACGCCGCGUGAAGGAAGAAGGCUUUCGGGUUGUAAACUUCUUUUACCAGGGACGAAGGACGUGACGGUACCUGGAGAAAAAGCCACGGCUAACUACGUGCCAGCAGCCGCGGUAAUACGUAGGUGGCAAGCGUUGUCCGGAUUUACUGGGUGUAAAGGGCGUGUAGGCGGAGAAGCAAGUCAGAAGUGAAAUCCAUGGGCUUAACCCAUGAACUGCUUUUGAAACUGUUUCCCUUGAGUAUCGGAGAGGCAGGCGGAAUUCCUAGUGUAGCGGUGAAAUGCGUAGAUAUUAGGAGGAACACCAGUGGCGAAGGCGGCCUGCUGGACGACAACUGACGCUGAGGCGCGAAAGCGUGGGGAGCAAACAGGAUUAGAUACCCUGGUAGUCCACGCUGUAAACGAUGAAUACUAGGUGUGGGAGGACUGACCCCUUCCGUGCCGCAGUUAACACAAUAAGUAUUCCACCUGGGGAGUACGAUCGCAAGAUUGAAACUCAAAGGAAUUGACGGGGGGCCCGCACAAGCAGUGGAUUAUGUGGUUUAAUUCGACGCAACGCGAAGAACCUUACCGGGA
rnacentral:rRNA from 1 species